GAUGAACGCUGGCGGCGUGCCUAACACAUGCAAGUCGAGCGAACAGAUGAUGCGCUUGUUCCCCGGACGUUAGCUGCGGACGGGAGAGUCACACGUGGAAAACCUACCUAUAAGACUGGGAUAACUUCGGGAAACCAGAGCUAAUACCGGAUAAUAUAUCGAACCACAUGGUUCACUCGUCAAAGUCGGUUUUGCUGACACUUAUAGAUGGAUCCGCGCCGCAUUAGCUAGUAGGUAAGGUAACGGCUUACCAAGGCAACGAUGGGUAACCGACCUGAGAGCGUGGUCGACCAGACUAGAAGUGAGACAGGGUCCAGACACCUACGCGAGGAAGCAGUAGGGAAUCUUCCGCAAUGGACGAGAGCCUGACGGAGCAACGCCGCGUGAGUGAUGAAGGUGUUAGGAUCGGAGAGCGAUGUUGUUAGGGAGGAACAAAUGUGUAAGUAACUAUGAACAUCUUGACGGUACCUAAUCAAAAAGCCACGGCUAACUACGUG
rnacentral:rRNA from 1 species